rnacentral:rRNA from 1 species
UGGGGAAUUUUGGACAAUGGGCGAAAGCCUGAUCCAGCCAUGCCGCGUGAGUGAAGAAGGCCUUCGGGUUGUAAAGCUCUUUUAGUCGGAAAGAAAGAGUUGCAAUGAAUAAUUGUGAUUUAUGACGGUACCGACAGAAAAAGCACCGGCUAACUACGUGCCAGCAGCCGCGGUAAUACGUAGGGUGCGAGCGUUAAUCGGAAUUACUGGGCGUAAAGGGUGCGCAGGCGGUCUUGCAAGUCAGAUGUGAAAGCCCCGGGCUUAACCUGGGAAUUGCGUUUGNAACUACAAGGCUAGAGUGCAGCAGAGGGGAGUGGAAUUCCAUGUGUAGCAGUGAAAUGCGUAGAGAUGUGGAAGAACACCGAUGGCGAAGGCAGCUCCCUGGGUUGACACUGACGCUCAUGCACGAAAGCGUGGGG